UACGGAGGGUGCAAGCGUUAUCCGGAUUCACUGGGUUUAAAGGGUGCGUAGGUGGCUUGGUAAGUCAGUGGUGAAAGCCCGGAGCUCAACUCCGGAACUGCCAUUGAUACUGCUUAGCUUGAAUCAGGUAGAGGUGGAAGGAAUAUUACAUGUAGCGGUGAAAUGCUUAGAUAUGUAAUAGAACACCGAUUGCGAAGGCAGUUCACUAGGCCUGUAUUGACACUGAGGCACGAAAGCGUGGGGAUCAAACAGG
rnacentral:rRNA from 1 species